GAUGAACGCUGGCGGCGCGCCUAACACAUGCAAGUCGAACGGUUAAAGCACCUUUUAGGUGUGUAUAAAGUGGCGAACGGCUGAGUAACACGUGGGCAACCUGCCCUCCUCUUGGGGAUAGCCUCGGGAAACCGAGGAUAAUACCCGAUACUUCAAUGUGGCCGCAUGACGACAUUGAGAAAGCUUUUGCGGAGAAGGAUGGGCCCGCGGCCUGUUAGCUUGUUGGUGGGGUAGAGGCCUACCAAGGCAAUGAUGGGUAGCUGGGUUGAGAGACCGACCAGCCAGAUUGGGACUGAGACACGGCCCAGACUCCUACGGGAGGCAGCAGUGGGGAAUCUUGCACAAUGGGCGAAAGCCUGAUGCAGCGACGCCGCGUGCGGGACGAAGGCCUUCGGGUUGUAAACCGCUUUCAGCAGGGACGAGGCGAAAGUGACGGUACCUGCAGAAGAACCCCGCUAACUAC
rnacentral:rRNA from 2 species